AACAUCUGUUGCUGACAAGUGUUGUAGUACUAUAGUUGUAGUGUUGGCCAUAUUUAUCAUGUGAUAUAUAUUGUUCAUAAGUUGGUACCACACCCACUGCUACUUCUUUUGUUAAUGUACCUUUGGUAUCUUGUAAUGUUUGUGAAUGAAGUUAGUCUCCAGUAAACGUUAGAUUUGGA